AUGGUGAUGGGGGGGGUUUAAGGACCUGGUGGAGCCGGAGUGAGGCGUCACACGUUGUUCAAUCAGCAGGCCAUGACUGACUGACCGUCAUAGUACUGUAGGAGAGGAGACUAUUCUACUGGCUGACUGACCGCCAUAGUACUGUAGGAGAGGAGACCAUUCCACUGGCUGACUGACCGCCAUAGUACUGUAGGAGAGGAGACCAUUCCACUGGCUGACUGACCGCCAUAGUACUGUAGGAGAGGAGACCAUUCCACUGGCUGACUGACUGCCAUAGUACUGUAGGAGAGGAGACCAUUCUACUGGCUGACUGACCGUCAUAGUACUGUAGGAGUGGAGACCAUUCCACUGGCUGACUGACCGUCAUAGUACUGUAGGAGACGAGACCAUUCCACUGACUGACUGACCGUCAUAGUACUGUAGGAGUGGAGACCAUUCCACUGGCUGACUGACCGUCAUAGUACUGUAGGAGACUAGACCAUUCCACUGGCUAACUGACCGUCAUAGUACUGUAGGAGAUGAGACCAUUCCACUGGCUGACUGACCGCCAUAGUACUGUAGGAGAGGAGACCAUUCCACUGGCUGACUGACCAUCAUAGUACUGUAGGAAAGGAGACCAUUCCACUGACUGACUGACCGCCAUAGUACUGUAGGAGACUAGACCAUUCCACUGACUGACUGACCGCCAUAGUACUGUAGGAGACUAGACCAUUCCACUGGCUGACUGACCGCCAUAGUACUGUAGGAGACGAGACCAUUCCACUGGCUGACUGACCGUCAUAGUACUGUAGGAGAGGAGACCAUUCCACUGGCUUGGAGGAGGAGCCUGGCUGACUGACCGUCAUAGAUGCAUGUUUGUCCUCAUCUGGCACCGAGAAUGAUGAUCCACCAAUGACUUCUGACUUGUUGAGGAUACAUCUGCUCCUCCACGCCCUGUUGGUGUGUGUCGUCGUCGUCCCCCCCCCCCACUGUGAUACACAACUGACUGGACGGAGGGAUGGUGGAGGAAGAGAAGAUACACAACUGACAGGGCGGAGAGAUGGUGGAGGAAGAGAAGAUACACAACUGACUGGGCGGAGAGAUGGUGGAGGAAGAGAAGAUACACAACUGACUGGGCGGAGAGAUGGUGGAGGAAGAGAAGAUACACAACUGACUGGGCGGAGAGAUGGUGGAGGAAGAGAAGAUACACAACUGACUGGGCGGAGAGAUGGUGGAGGAAGAGAAGAUACACAACUGACUGGGCGGAGAGAUGGUGGAGGAAGAGAAGAUACACAACUGACUGGGCGGAGAGAUGGUGGAGGAAGAGAAGAUACACAACUGACUGGGCGGAGAGAUGGUGGAGGAAGAGAAGAUACACAACUGACUGGACGGAGAGAUAGUGGAGGAAGAGAAGAUACACAACUGACUGGGCGGAGAGAUGGUGGAGGAAGAGGAGAGAUUACGCUGUGGAGUUGACUUUGUUGUUCUGGUGAAGGGAGGGUCCUCAUAUUGGCCCCCAGAGAGAGAGAGAGGACAAAGCACUGCCUCUCUGUGAAAUCAUCUGCCCUUUCUGCACAAUGACCACAUCCAUCCUCCUUGCCAACCAUGGCCCUCUGGGAAAACCUGUGUGUGUGUGUGUGUGCGUGUGCGUGUGUGUGCGUGUGUGUGUGUGUGCGUGUGUGAGAGAGAGAGAGAGUCUGCUAGAUUCUGGGCAGCACUGAAGGAUUUGCAUAGACUGUUGAUUUUAAACUAGCAAUAUUUUAACCAAGUAUCGCCACAACAUUUAAAAUGAAGAAGAAAAAUACCAAGCAAACAUAAACGAGGAAUGCUGGUGGGGGGGGGGGGGUCUGCUGCACCUCUGCAUCGGUGAAGGAUACAGGAGAGGGCCUUCACUACCCCAGCAUCGCCCCGCUGGCUGACUGCUGCUGUUGAGCUUAAUGCAUAAAACAGUGUGUGUUAAUGAGUAGUGAGUUUAACGUGGACAUUUUUCUUCCUGUGUUUGGAAGAACCAGGCUUUUAUCUCUUUGUUUGUGAGCCAAAUAUUACAUAUAUAUAUAUAUACAUAUAUAUAUAUAUACUCUUUCAAGAUUUCAGAUAUGCCUUCUCAAGACCUUGACAAGCACAAACCUAUUAUUACUUACUAAUAUUUCAAAAGAAAAAAAUCCCGUUGUCAUUUCCACUUUGUUUUUAAGAGUAUAGUUUUUAAAUGGUGUUAUUUAUUGGUUUUAACUAUCUUAGAGACAACGUGUUAAAGGUCAGAGCACUAACGUGGAAGUGUGUGGUUAAAUGGUAUGUGUUCUAAUCUAAAGGCAACUUAACUUGGGUCAGGUCUUGUUAGGCCGUGCUAACUAAAUGGUGUUGUAAAAGAUGAAGUGUUGUAUGCUGCAUAGCUUCAGUGUGAAAGCUUCUCGGUAAUCGUCUUGUUUUGAAGACAAAAGAAUGUUUUAACUCCCUGUUGUAAAACAUCUCUUGUGACCUGACGAGACAGACGCUCUGGCUUUGUCCCGGCUGAGCUGACUGUACUAUUUACAGUGACGAUCAGGACAGGAAGAGGUUGAAGACAAAGAUGGAGGGAGGGAGGGGUGGUGUUUGGUAGAGUGAGAUACUGUUGGACAUCUAUAGGUUUGUGUCCCAAAUGGUACCCUAUGUAGUGCACUACUUUUGACCAGGGCCCAUAGGGACUAAUGCACUAUAUAUAGUAAUAAGGUUCCACUUGGGACUGUCCUCAUCUUUGUUCAGAUUUCCAAAAAGAAAGGUUGUUGGGGUAAAAAAAAUAAUAAUAUAUAUAUAUAUAAACAUAAAAUGUUACUCUGGGUGUGUUUUGUAAGUGUUGUGUGAGUAGGGGGACUCCUUUCUAUUCCCAACUACACCAAUAAGCACUGAUGGGCAGAUGUAACUUUUUCUAUAGCGAACGUGAGUCUCUUUGUGACGUGUGUUACCACCUUUAAAGAAUAAGAAAACAAAAGCCAUCUUGAUGAGUUUAAAGU